GCGGAAUCAAAGUGAAAGGUAACUCUUUCGCUUAUCCGAGGGAGGACGGGCACGACUUUGCCUCUAGUGCGGCGGUGCCCCGCACUCCCGGGGCGUUUCUCACUCAUCGCGAGUCGGAGCGCACCCAGAGCGUACACGUUAGGACCCGAAAGAUGGUGAACUAUGCCCGGCCAGGACGAAGCCAGGGGAAACCCUGGUGGAGGUCCGUAGCGAUUCUGACGUGCAAAUCGAUCGUCGGAGCUGGGUAUAGGGGCGAAAGACUAAUCGAACCAUCUAGUAGCUGGUUCCUUCCGAAGUUUCCCUCAGGAUAGCUGGUGCCCGUGCGGAACGAGUCUCAUCCUGUAAAGCGAAUGAUUAGAGGCAUUGGGGGUCGAAACGACCUCAACCUAUUCUCAAACUUUAAAUAGAUGAGAACUCCGGCUUGCUUGAA
rnacentral:rRNA from 1 species